UCUUUGUUCUGUGUGGCGUAGGCCUUUAGUCCUUGCAGGGACUGCCUCCUGAGGAGCACGGUUGGGCUCAUUAUUUCUCGGAAUGUUAGAAUCAUAGACCCGGAAACGGUCAGAAAGAGAAUGCCGUUGAAGACAAAGCAGAGAGAGAUUUGUAGAUGCCUACUUUGAAGAUUAGAGAGAUGUGGCCACAAACCAAGGAAUGCCAGCAGCCACCUGAAGCUGAAAGAGUCAAGGAACCGGAUUUUCCCCUAGAGUCUCCAGAGGAAGGUUGGCUCUGAGGACACCUUGAUUUGGGAGGUGAUACAGAUUGGACUUCUGGCCUCCAGAAUUGUGAGAGAAUGCAUUUCUGUUGUUUCAAGUCA